GAGGGUUUCAUUUGUCCCCAUUCUUCUUCGGAAAUCUUCACCUGCUCCAUCACUCUUCAUCUUCUUCAUCCAUGUAUCCACCACACCACCCCACCUUUAGCCUUUAUUCUCCUUAAAUCAAAUGGUAACAACAAAGACAUAUCAGUAAACAAAUCAAAUAGUCAAGGAUCAUUAUCACCAAGUUCAUCCCAAUUCAUCAUCACCUUGGUUCUUCCUCCCUCAUCACCACCGUCACCGUCACCAUCACCCGUCGGCGACCUCACCACAACCUUAAUCCCCAAAUCCGAAUCCAAUUGAAAUCCAGAAAAUGCAAAUCUGCGAGAGACUUGAUGAGAGAUAAGAUGUUGAACCUCUCUUAAUAUUCCUCGCUAACAACAGGUUCGUCGGUCUUCGAAUCGAAUCUGAUGCAAAGAAGCUUUGUCUCUCCGUUUUCUCUUCUCUCUUCUCCAUGGAAUCAAAUCCAAUUUAAAGGAUUGAUUAUGAUUUGAUGAUAGAUGUGUGUGUAAUGGGUUGUAUGUCUAGAUCUGAGAAUUUAAAAUUCAGGGAUGAAGAUGAAUGUGUUAGUGAUGUUUAUGCCCUUUUCUCUUUUAACACAGAUAAUUGGAGUUUAUAGAAUGGGUUGAAGAUGAAGAGAGGGAAAAAAGCAUGAAGUUCUAGAGAAAAGAAUGAAGUUCUGGAACUGAAGUUUUGGGGGAAAGAAGUUAU
rnacentral:lncRNA from 1 species